UGGGCGGAGUCUCGGGCCAUCCCGCGCAAAUUGAAAAGUCGGGCCCUCGGUGCUGCGCUGCGUCCCUGCUCCUAGCUUUUGGCGCUGCCGGCUGGCGCGCGGCGGCCCAGGCCAAAGGAACGUGUCUUCUGGAAAGGGCGUGUGGGCCCCCCUUCCAGUUCGUGAGAGAGGGGAUGGAGCGAUGACGUUGUGCUGUCAGUACUACCAGAUGCCGCGGGCGGUCCCCUGAGGACGCUUUGUGCCUAAAACCCCUGACCCCCUCCAUUGUUUCAUUGUGCUAAAGAGGAAACGUUUAGGAGAAACUUUUAACUUGGCAUUAUGGGGAUACAUGGAUUGCUGCAAUUUAUCAAAGAAGCUUCUGAACCUGUACACAUAAGGAAGUAUAAAGGGCAGGUGGUAGCUGUGGAUACAUAUUGCUGGCUUCACAAAGGAGCUGUUGCUUGUGCAGAAAAGCUAGCCAAAGGUGAACCUACUGAUAAGUAUGUAGGAUUUUGUAUGAAAUUUGUAAAUAUGUUACUCUCUCAUGGGAUCAAGCCUAUCCUGGUAUUUGAUGGAUGUACUUUACCUUCUAAAAAGGAAGUGGAAAAGUCUAGAAGAGAAAGACGACAAGCCAAUCUCCUUAAGGGAAAGCAGCUUCUUCGUGAAGGGAAGGUCUCAGAAGCCAGAGAAUGUUUCACACGUUCUAUCAAUAUCACACAUACUAUGGCCCACAGCGUAAUUAAAGCUGCUCGGUCUCAGGGAGUAGAUUGUCUUGUGGCCCCAUAUGAAGCGGAUGCGCAGCUGGCCUAUCUUAACAAGGCUGGCAUUGUACAAGCUGUAAUCACAGAGGACUCUGAUCUCCUUGCUUUUGGCUGUAAAAAGGUUAUUUUAAAAAUGGACCAGUUUGGAAAUGGACUAGAAGUUGAUCAGGCUCGUCUGGGAAUGUGCAAACAGCUUGGGGAUGUGUUCACCGAAGAGAAGUUCCGUUAUAUGUGCAUUCUUUCAGGCUGUGACUAUCUUUCAUCACUGCGUGGGAUUGGAUUAGCCAAGGCCUGCAAACUACUAAGACUAGCCAACAAUCCAGAUAUUUUAAAGGUCAUCAGGAAAAUUGGACAUUAUCUCAAGAUGAAUAUAACAGUACCAGAAGAUUACAUCAAAGGAUUUAUUCGGGCCAACAAUACCUUCCUCUAUCAGCUUGUUUUUGAUCCCAUCAAAAGGAAGCUCAUCCCUCUGAAUGCCUAUGAAGAUGACAUUGAUCCCAAAACACUAAGCUAUGCUGGGCAGUAUGUUGAUGAUUCUAUAGCUCUUCAAAUAGCACUUGGGAAUAAAGAUAUAAAUACUCUCGAGCAGAUCGAUGACUACAAUCCAGACACUGCCAUGCCUGCCCAAUCAAGAAGUCAUAGUUGGACUGACAAAGCAUGUCAAAAAUCAUCUAAUGUCAAUAGCAUUUGGCAUAGGAAUUAUUGCCCUAGACGUGAACUGGAUAUUGUUUCAGAUACUACAAAGGUGAAGGAAAAUCCAAGUACUGUGGGCAUUAAACAAGUGAUUAGUACUAAAGGGUUAAAUCUUCCAAGGAAGUCAUCCAUUGUAAAAAGACCAAGAAGUGAAGAGCUGUCAGAAGAUGAUAUGUUGGAUCAAUAUUCUACUUCCUUUACAAAGAAGAUCAAGAGAAAUAGUUGUGAAGGUGAUAAGUCAUUGAACUCUCCUGAACUGUUUAUGCCUGACCUCCUAGAAGGAGCUACUGUUAAAAAAACCUUAAGCACACCACCUACGACAAGAAACAAAUUUGCAACAUUUUUACAGAAGAAAAAUGAAGAAAGUGGUGCAGUUGUGGUUCCAGGCACCAGAAGCAGGUUUUUUUCCAAUUCUCUGGAUUCUGAUGACUGUAUAUCAAAGAAAGCAAGCAGCCAGCCUCUAGCUGAAACUGCUAUCACAGUUAAAGAAACCAAUGGAGGUGAACCAGAUUGUCUAGAGGACAAGAAGUUGGUUGAUACCAGUGUAUCACAUAAUUCCGGUGAGCAGAUUCCAGAUGAUGUGACUGUGAUGGCUGAAGAGUCUCAGUCUUUUAAGACCAGUACAUUCACGAGGACCAUCUCACCACCCACCUUGGGGACACUAAGAAGUUGUUUCAGUUGGUCUGGAAGUCUUGGAGAUUUUUCAAGAACUCCGAGCCCCUCUCCAAGCACAGCAUUGCAGCAGUUCCGUAGAAAGAGUGAUCCUUCCACCUCUCUGCCUGAGAAUACUGAGAUGUCUGAUGUAGCUCCGUUAAAGAGUGAUGAGUCAAGUGAUGAAUCACAUCCCUUACAUGAUGUGGGUUGGUCUUCACAGUCUCAGGAAAGCAUGGACUUGUCACCACACAAUUUAAAUGCAUCAAAACUUUCUCAGCCUUCUAGUAAGGAUUCAGAUUCAGAGGAAUCUGAUUGCAAUUUUAAGCCACUUGAUAAACAAGGUAAUCAGAAAUCCAAGCUACACUUGUUUCAUUUUUCGAAGAAAGACACGCUUCUAAGAAACAAGGCAACUUCGUAACUCCAUCUUCCCAAAACUUUUUAUCAUUUUGAGUAAAGAAUUGUUCCAGGUACAUUAUUUUAAAAAUUUUAUGGAGACCAAAAUAAAUGAAAAUCCGAAGUUAUGAUAUCUGAAUGUGGCAGUUGAAUCAGAAGACCAGUCAAGCUAAGGAACUCAAUAGAGGACUCCUUUCCAAUCCCACCAUAUACACAUCACUUUCUUUGGAUAAAGACUGUCCUUCAGUAUGGUUGGUAGUUCAUUUCACUUGCCCCAUGAUCUCUUCUGCUCCACAUUGUUGAACAGUAUCCACGUUUGAUUGCCUGUCACAAUUUGUUUUUUUAUAGCGGAAUGUUUUAACUAUGUUUAAGUAAAGAAUCACAUGCAGAAAUACUGUCAAGAAGGUUUUUUUUCACUUAUGUAGAACCUAAACUUCAAAGCAAUUAACAUAAGCAAGCUGGUGCAUGUGAUUUUCAACAUUUGAUUUGGAUAUUUUGAAUAUGUGAGCAAGCUAGCUCCUGUGUGGUAUAACUUUGAUCUCAGUUUAUGUCUCCCUUGGAUCACUGUCAACAUUGGUCUACCUGACCAAGUCUAGCGAGAAAAUUUUACCUUUCUUGGAAUGAAAAGUGAAAAAUGAAAGUGAAAGUUGCUCAGUCAUGUCCAACUCUUUGCAACCCCAUGAGCUAUACAGUCCAUGGAAUUCAGACGAGAAUACUGGAGUGGGUAGCCUUUCCCUUCUCCAGGGGAUCUUCCCAAUCCAGAGAUUGAAGCCAGGUCUCCUGCAUUGCAGGUGGAUUCUUUACCACCUGAGCCACAAGGGAAGCCCAAGAAUACUGGAGUGGGUAGCCUAUCCCUUCUCCAGCAGGUCUUCCUGACCCUGGAAUCAAACCAGGGUCUUCUGCAUUGCAGGUGGAUUCUUUACCAACUGAGCUAUCAGGGAAUAAUGAAGUAUAAUAUUGCCAAAAAUAUUUUUUAAAUCCCAUCUUCAAUAUUAAAAUGACUGCACAGAAAUUCACUAAUUUUGUUUUUUUUUUUAAAGCACACUAAUAUGAAAGCUGUCACAAUACGAUCUAACAAAAUUGUUUCAAAUGAAGUUAUAGACAAGGAAGUGCUAUUAGAGCCAUCUUAUGGAAAAAACCUACUGAACAUUUUGGCCAGCCUAAUAGGUGUUUAAGUUGUGAAACCUGUUUUUUUUUUUUAUAGUAUAUAAAGAUCUAUUUCAUGUACUUAAGUGACAUUACUUAUAAUUACUAAAAUAUGCCAUGGUGUGGGUUUAACUAAUCUUCUUAUGUUUGUCCUUUACUCUAAAAAUUUUUGUUAUACCAAACAGUACUGCAAUGAAGAUUUUGUUGAUAAAUGUUUGAGUACUAUACACAUUCCUGAUUUUUCAUGGGGAUGAAUUCUGUGGAGUGGUAUUACUGGUCCAAGGGCAGGUAUGGUGUAAAGCUUUGAUGUGUAUUGCAAAAAGGCCUUCUGGAAACUGGGUCCCUGAUAAGUCAAGGGCUUUUUUCAAUAAGACUAUAUAAAUAUUUGUGUUACUGCAUAGUGAAAGCUCAUAAGUCAAAAGCCCAUUUUAUGUAUUAAGUAUCUUGCCAAUAUCAAAAUACUAAUUCCUGACUUAAAAACGGGCAAAAGACAUGAACAGAUAUGACAAAAGCAAAAAGCCCAAGUGGAUGAUUAACAUAUAAAAGCACGUUCAACCUCAUUAGUAAUCAAAUAACAUGAAUUAAAGUAAUAAAAUAAAAUUUCUUACCUCUUAUUUUUCCAAAAGUUUUUAAUUUACUGAAUUUUAUAAGGGUAUAAAGUGCUGUAUAAUCACAUUUAAGAUAGCAUAAUCCUAUUAAUUGGUAUGAUUAAUUAUCCCAAUAAUGAAUUAAUUAGGAUAAUAAUUACUUAGGAUAAUCAUAUUUAGGAGAAUAAGAAUUGCUGUUCCAUUUCUGGAAAGCAAUUUGAAAGAGUUUUAAUAAUUUAACCCAGUAAGUACAUUCUAGAACUUGAGCCUAAAGAGAUAAUGAGAAUUUAAAUACAAGACUAGUUAUUCUUGCAUUGGUUGCAAUAGUGAAAAAUUGGGAAAACUAAAUAUCUAAAAAAUAAGGGUGUGAAAUACAUUAAAUACGUUGUUGGUUUUAGUGGGCAUGUAUUAUUUUUCUUAUAUAAGAAAACUAUAUUUAUAUAGUUAAUGUUACUUUCUCAUGUUUAUUUGUAAAAGCAUAGAAAAUUUACAAACCUUUUUAAUAAGUGAUCUAGUGUAUCUGUUUGAAAGAAGGUCAUAUCUCAUACUAUAUAAAUAUAAACCUGAAAGAUAUUAAGGAUAUAAAUGUAAAAUAUGUAAAUAUAAAGUGAAAGUUACCCAGUCAUGUCCAACUUUCUGGGGAACCCAUGAACUGUAUAGUCCAAGGACUUCUCCAGGCCAGAAUAUUGGAGUGGGUAGCUGUUCUCUUCUCCAGGGGAUCUUCCCAACCUAGGGAUCGAAUCCAGGUCUCCUGCAUUGCAGAUGGAUUCUUUACGAGCUGAACCAACAGGAAAUAUAAGUUUCUUUUUAAAAUCUUUGAGUGAGAAAGACUUUUUCAAACAGAUCCUGUGUUGUACAAAUGUCCAUAUUAUUUUUGAAUGAAAAGGGAAACAAUGCUAUAUAUGUGUAGCAUGGUGUUUUUGUUUGCUUAAAUGCUUGGAAAUACGCAUAUUGUAUAUGUUUGUGUGUGUGUGUGUUAGUCACUUAGUCGUAUCCGACUCUUUGUGACCCCAUGGACUGUAGCCCACCAGGCUCCUCUGUCCAUGGGAUUUUCCAGGCAAGAAUGCUAUAGGGGGUUGCCAUUCCCUUCUCCAGGGGAUCUUCUCGACCCAGAGAUUGAACCCGGAUCUCCUGCACUGCAGGCAGAUUCUUUACCAUCUGAACCUCCAGGGAAACCAUGUUUGUAUAAUCAUGGUAAAAAGUCUAGAAAGAUAUUAAAAUUAUUUGCAGUGAUAGGACUAAAGAUGUAGAAAGUACUUUCUCAAAAGAAGUUACAUCUGGACAUUCAACCAUCAUCUUUUUAUUAUUAUUAUACUUUCAGAUUUGCAUUGUCAAUGUUUUAACUGUCACUUCUAUUUUGGUGACAGCUCCCCAGAUGAACCUUCCCUCUUGCUCCCUGGUGUCCAUCUUCAGUAUAUAAAAUCAAACUCAUCUUUCUUUUUUAACCUAUAACCAGUACUUCUUAAAGCACUUAUCAGCUGUAAUAAUAUUUGCUCUGGGUCACUUAGUUUCAAAAUCUUAGGGUUGUCCUCUUUCUUUAUAACUUCCAGCUGGAUCCUUCUUUUUCAAGGGCUAAAGAAAAACAAUCAAAACAUCUAUACCUAUCUAAAUCCUGUUUCUUUCUCUGUCUUAUUUCUUGCUCUCCUUUUUUCCUAUCACCAACAUCCUAAUUUAAUAUUGCAUCUUUCAGGUGUGAAACUUUCCAUUCUUUAUACACCCUCUACUAGGUUCAUCAAUUUUAAAUCCUUGUUUUAUAUUACCACACUAUUACUGUCCUAAGAAAAAAAAAACAGUAACAAAACUGUAAUGGCUCCACAUUUCCAGCAGCAUACAAGUCAAUGGAUUCAAGGCACAGAUAAAGACAAAUAUCAUAUGAUAUCAUUUAAUCAUGGAAUCUUUUUUAAAAAAAUGAUACAAAUGAACUGAUUUACAAAUAAGAAAUAGAGUCACAGACAUAGAAAACAAACUUAAGUUGCCAUAGGGGAUAGUGGAGAAAGUAGGGUAGGGAUAUAAGCUAGGUAUUGGGGAUUAACAUAUGCACACUGCUGCUGCUGCUGCCAAGUCAAUUCAGUUGUGUCCAACUCUGUGCAACCCCAUAGACGGCAGCCCACCAGGCUCCCCCAUCCCUGGGAGUCUCCAGGCAAGAACACUGGAGUGGAUUGCCAUUUCCUUCUCCAAUGCAUGAAAGUGAAAAGUGAAAGUGAAGUCACUCGGUCGUGUCCGACUCUCAGCGACC